UACGAAGGGGGUCUAGUCGUGCUCGGAAUCACUGGGCGUAAAGCGCACGUAGGCGGACUCUUAAGUCGGUGGUGAAAUCCUGGAGCUCAACUCCAGAACUGCCUUCGAUACUGAGAGUCUCGAGUCCGGGAGAGGUGAGUGGAACUGCGAGUGUAGAGGUGAAAUUCGUAGAUAUUCGCAAGAACACCAGUGGCGAAGGCGGCUCACUGGCCCGGUACUGACGCUGAGGUGCGAAAGCGUGGGGAGCAAACAGG
rnacentral:rRNA from 1 species